UACGUAGGCAGCGAGCGUUGUUCGGAGUUACUGGGCGUAAAGGGCGCGUAGGCGGCUUCUCAAGCGUGCGGUGAAAGUCAGGGGCUCAACCCCUGAUCGGCCGUGCGAACUGGGGGGCUGGAGCACUGUAGAGGCAGGCGGAAUUCCGGGUGUAGCGGUGGAAUGCGUAGAGAUCCGGAAGAACACCGGUGGCGAAGGCGGCCUGCUGGGCAGUGGCUGACGCUGAGGCGCGACAGCGUGGGGAGCAAACAGG
rnacentral:rRNA from 1 species